CCUACGGGAGGCAGCAGUGAGGAAUAUUGGUCAAUGGGCGGAAGCCUGACCCAGCCAAGUAGCGUGCAGGAUGACGGCCCUACGGGUUGUCCACUGCUUUUAUACGGGAAUAACGCGCCUUACGUGUAGGGCUUUGCAUGUACCGUAUGAAUAAGGACCGGCUAAUUCCGUGCCAGCAGCCGCGGUAAUACGGCGGGGCCGGGCGGUAUACGGAUUUGUUGGGGUGAAAGGGAGCGUAGGCUGGAUGUCAAGCGUGCUGUGAAAUGUCCGGGCUCAACCCGGGCAUUGCAGCGCGAACGGGCGGGCUUGAGGCCGCGAAAGGCAGGCGGAAUUCGUCGUGUAGCGAUGAAAUGCUUAGAUAUGACGAAGAACCCCAAUUGCGAAGGCAGCUUGCUGCAGCGGAACUGACGCUGAGGCUCGAAAGCGCGGGUAUCGAACAGGAUUAGAUACCCCAGUAGUC
rnacentral:rRNA from 1 species